GUGGGAGUGUUCUAGGGCAGCAGUGGGGAUUGGUGGCACACGGAGGUGGGAGUGUUCUAGGGCAGCAGUGGGGAUUGGUGGUGUAAGGCGGUGGGAGUGUUCUAGGGCAGCAGUGGGGAUUGGUGGCACAUGGCGGUGGGAGUGUUCUAGGGCAGCAGUGGGGAUUGGUGGCACACGGCAGUGGGAGUGUUCUAGGGCAGCAGUGGGGAUUGGUGGCACAUGGAGGUGGGAGUGUUCUAGGGCAGCAGUGGGGAUUGGUGGCACACGGCAGUGGGAGUGUUCUAGGGCAGCAGUGGGGAUUGGUGGCACACGGCAGUGGGAGUGUUCUAGGGCAGCAGUGGGGAUUGGUGGCACACGGCGGUGGGAGUGUUCUAGGGCAGCAGUGGGGAUUGGUGGCACACGGCAGUGGGAGUGUUCUAGGGCAGCAGUGGGGAUUGGUGGCACAAGGCGGUGGGAGUGUUCUAGCUUCACUGUGUGUGUGUGUGUUAGGGAGAGUGGGCAGGAGAGACAGGGAGGGAUGUUUGCGUAGGCACAAUGGUAACAAUAUGAGUCACGACUGUACUGAAGGACAAGUGACAUGAAUCCUUAGAAGCCCCAUGAAACAUGAGCUAUCUGACAGAUUCUUUAACACUUUACGCCUUAGUACAUGUGUAACAACACAAAACAUUUGAAUGCUUUGUACUUGCACACGGUCUAAGCUAGUUGCAGUUCACAACCCACAUGCCUUUCUACAGUAAUGGGUUGACGGUGUGGGACAGGGGUGUAGUACCUAGUAAGUAUGUAGGCUAUGCACUUCACGGGUAUGCCAUGUUGCCUAACUUGUAUCUCGUUUGUGACAACAAAAAAGAGUCAACCUUCUGUCGACCUUUGUGUACAUGGAAUAAAGAUUCAGUGACUCACUUUUUUUGUCACCUAGUAGUCUCUUUUCCCCGUUAUUAUAAUGUCAUAUUCCAAAUCAAAGAACUGGUCAGUGAAGGUUAUUGAGGACAUUGAGACAACAACCUGUUAUUGUUUAUAGUUCCACACCCAUUACGGUUAGUAGGAUGUGUUCAGUCGAGUCAUGUGUUUAUAGUUCAGGGUGUCCUGUCCAGGAAAUGAUCAUGAUACUUGUGAUGAAGAUGAAGGUGGUGAUAGUUGUGAAUGAGUCCCAGGGUCACGGCAGUGACCUCAACUCAAGGGCGGCCAGCUACAUCCACACUGUACAACGUUUGGAAUGUUGAGAAUGUUCUGUUUUUCUCAGAGCUCACUGCAAGAGAAAACAGAAUGAGAGGAGGGGAGGAGGAGAGGAAGAAGGGAGAACAACGAUAUCU
ensembl:lncRNA